rnacentral:lncRNA from 1 species
GAAGGGGCUUGCUAAAACAGUGCUGGCUCCCAGUCCCCCCAGUUUCGGAUUCAGGAGGUUUGGGAUGGGGCUGGAGACUGUGCUUUUCUAACAGUUCCCAGAUGAUUCUGAUGCUGCUGGUCUGGGGAACCACACUUUGCAAAGCACUGCCUUAGACUGAUCCUCGGCAUACGAGAAAGUGAGAUUUCUAUAGCUCACCCCAGGUGGACAGGAGAUAGAACACACCCACCCCAUCUAGGAAGAUGAUUUACAUUAAUCAGACGAGAAAAAUGAUACUCAGAGGAGUUAAGCAGUUUGCCCAAGAAGGAGCCAAGUUAGGAUUUGAACCCAGGACUGUCUGAUAGCAACCUUCAUGCUCUUAGCCACACGGCCAUCAUCUCAUAAUAAACAGGUGGCAGAACCAAGAACCAAGAGAAGGUCGCCCUCCUCUUCUGGAUUCUCUGGAGCUCACUAUAAGGUGCUCCAUGGCGUGGGCCGGACAUCACCCCUGUGGCUGCUGGGGGAGUCGGGACAGUUAAGACCUGUAGUAGCCGCCCGUAAAGAAGGCUUGGAACUCACCAGUGAGUCUCAUGAAAAUGGCUGUGAUAACAAACCUGAGGCAAAAUCAUAA